AGGGUUUGAUUAUGGCUCAGGAUGAACGCUAGCUACAGGCUUAACACAUGCAAGUCGCGGGGCAGCAUGAAGGAUGCUUGCAUUCUUUGAUGGCGACCGGCGCACGGGUGAGUAACGCGUAUCCAACCUGCCUGUUACCACGGCACAGCCCGUCGAAAGGCGGAUUAAUGCCGUAUGUGGUCCUUUGCGGGCAUCUAAUUAGGACUAAAGGUUCAGCGGUAACAGAUGGGGAUGCGUCCGAUUAGCUAGACGGCGGGGUAACGGCCCACCGUGGCUACGAUCGGUAGGGGUUCUGAGAGGAAGGUCCCCCACACUGGAACUGAGACACGGUCCAG
rnacentral:rRNA from 1 species